rnacentral:RNase_P_RNA from 1 species
CGAGCCGACCGGGCGGCCGCGGUACCGGGGUUCGCUCCGGAUCGAGGAACGUCCGGGCUCCACAGAGCAGGGCGGUGGCUAACGGCCACCCGGGGUGACCCGCGGGAACAGUGCCACAGAGAGUAGACAGCCGACGGGGCUACCCGCCGGUGAUGGUGAAAGGGUGGGGUAAGAGCCCACCAGCGCCCCGGGUGACUGGGGCGGCUAGGCAAACCCCGCCCGGAGCAAGACCGCACAGCUGACGCUUGAGGGCUGCUCGUCCGAGUCAGCGGGUAGGUCGCGUGAGCCCACCGGUAACGGUGGGCCAAGAUGGAUGGUCGCCACCGUCGCACCGGUAACGGGCGGCGGCAACAGAACCCGGCGUACAGGUCGGCUCGUUCC